rnacentral:rRNA from 1 species
GACGAACGCUGGCGGCACGCUUAACACAUGCAAGUCGAACGGAGUUAAUUGGAGCUUGCUUUGAUUAACUUAGUGGCGGACGGGUGAGUAACACGUGAGCAACCUGCCUUUAAGAGAGGAAUAACAGUCUGAAAAGACUGCUAAUACCUCAUAACAUAACGAAGCCGCAUGACUUUGUUGUCAAAGAUUUAUCGCUUAAAGAUGGGCUCGCGUCUGAUUAGCUUGUUGGUGAGGUAACGGCCCACCAAGGCGACGAUCAGUAGCCGUACUGAGAGGUAGAUCGGCCACAUUGGGACUGAGACACGGCCCAGACUCCUACGGGAGGCAGCAGUGGGGAAUAUUGCACAAUGGAGGAAACUCUGAUGCAGCGAUGCCGCGUGAGGGAAGAAGGUUUUCGGAUUGUAAACCUCUGUCUUCAGGGACGAUAAUGACGGUACCUGAGGAGGAAGCUCCGGCUAACUACGUGCCAGCCGCCGCAGUAA